rnacentral:rRNA from 1 species
UACGGGGGGGGCAAGCGUUGUUCGGAAUUACUGGGCGUAAAGGGCUUGUAGGUGGCCAACUAAGUCAGACGUGAAAUCCCUCGGCUUAACCGGGGAACUGCGUCUGAUACUGGAUGGCUAGAGUUUGGGAGAGGGAUGCGGAAUUCCAGGUGUAGCGGUGAAAUGCGCAGAUAUCGGGAGGAACACCCGUAGCGAAGGCGGCACUCUGGGCCGUGACUGACGCUGAGGAGCGAAAGCGUGGGGAGCAAACAGG